UACGUAGGGCGCAAGCGUUGUCCGGAAUUAUUGGGCGUAAAGAGCUCGUAGGCGGCUUGUCACGUCGGGUGUGAAAGCCCGGGGCUUAACCCCGGGUCUGCAUUCGAUACGGGCUGGCUAGAGUGUGGUAGGGGAGAUCGGAAUUCCUGGUGUAGCGGUGAAAUGCGCAGAUAUCGAGAGGAACACCAGUGGCGAAGGCGAGUCCCUGGACAACACCUGACACUGAGGCACGAAAGCUAGGGGAGCAAACAGG
rnacentral:rRNA from 1 species